GGGCAGGAUGUGUGAAGUAGGCCCACCCGCAGGCGGGUCGUCCUUCUUCACGAAGCCCUUAUUCGCACUGCGUGCUCAACGGGGAGCUGAUCGGCAAGCUG
rfam:Candidatus Accumulibacter sp. BA-93 contig000077, whole genome shotgun sequence.